AGGCCCCCCUCGGUCAUGACUGACCAUGGGUAAUGCAUCCUAGUUGUUGGCUGCUUGCUCCAAACCUCGGCUGGAGCAGCGUCGCUUGUGGCUGACGAGACCAAAGCGGGAGUGACAGUCUGUUGAGUUACUCCAGCUUUUUGUGUC